rnacentral:rRNA from 1 species
AACAGGAUUAGAUACCCUGGUAGUCCACGCCGUAAACGAUGAGUGCUAAGUGUUAGAGGGUUUCCGCCCUUUAGUGCUGCAGCUAACGCAUUAAGCACUCCGCCUGGGGAGUACGGCCGCAAGGCUGAAACUCAAAGGAAUUGACGGGGGCCCGCACAAGCGGUGGAGCAUGUGGUUUAAUUCGAAGCAACGCGAAGAACCUUACCAGGUCUUGACAUCCUCUGACAACCCUAGAGAUAGGGCUUUCCCCUUCGGGGGACAGAGUGACAGGUGGUGCAUGGUUGUCGUCAGCUCGUGUCGUGAGAUGUUGGGUUAAGUCCCGCAACGAGCACAACCCUUGAUCUUAGUUGCCAGCAUUCAGUUGGGCACUCUAAGGUGACUGCCGGUGACAAACCGGAGGAAGGUGGGGAUGACGUCAAGUCCUCAUGGCCCUUAUGGGUAGGGCUUCACACGUCAUACAAUGGUCGGUACAGAGGGUAGCCAACCCGCGAGGGGGAGCCAAUCCCAGAAAGCCGAUCGUAGUCCGGAUCGCAGUCUGCAACUCGACUGCGUGAAGUCGGAAUCGCUAGUAAUCGCGGAUCAGCAUGUCGCGGUGAAUACGUUCCCGGGUCUUGUACACACCGCCCGUCACACCAUGGGAGUGGAAUCCGCCAGAAGUAGGUAGUCUAACCGCAAGGGGGACGCUUACCACGG